UCCCAGUGAAGAAACAGUCACAUGUCUUACCUCCUGUCCUAGUCCCAGAGCCUGUAAAGGUGAACCCACUGGGGCUGGCUGGGGGAAAAGAGGAUGCUUGUUCCAGAAGGAACUGUCUGAGGGAU
ensembl:snoRNA SNORD22 Small nucleolar RNA SNORD22